rnacentral:rRNA from 1 species
AUGUCGUGUCAAAAAGAUUCACUCUCUUCGGCUUUAUUGCUGGGUGGAGCAUCGCAACCUCUGCUGAGACCGGACCUACCUUCUAGGUAUCUUGCACUGGCACUCGUCUCAUGCAUAUACUUUCUCAACGACAAGAUGAAAAACCUUGGCAGGGCAUCUUCUACAGGGCUUGGACUCUUUGCGAGUGGCUGGAUAGUUGGUUCGCUGGUUGUCCCAGUGAUCCUGGCAUUUAUUUUGCCGCGUACUUGGUGUCUGGAGCUCCUUACUUCGCUGGUCGCUUAUGUAUUUUUAUUCUUGGGUUGCAUCCACUUGUGA